CUUCACAAUAGAGACCUUGACCUCUCUAACACAAGCAUAUCAAUUCCUCUCAGAGCUUAACUUAGCUUAACUUCGGAGAGACUGCUUCAAGUUUAAUAUCCUUGGAAAAUUACCAGAAUGAAUAAGACCAGACAUUAAUUCCUCCCUAAAAGUGUUGAAUUUUGGAACCUGCCUAUAGUCUGUAGAUAUUUACACCCUUGGUUCAUCAAACGGAUAAUAAAUACAAGGUUGAAACAAAAAUCUAACUCCUGUGCUCCACUCUCGUUAUAUAUCCUGAACACAGAUGCCUGCUCAGAUAACAGGUCUGUCAUGAAGGCUGUGAACGGCAAGGUGAACACUGCACUAUUUUAAAAUACCUUCAAUCAUAAGAGACUUGAACAUUAUGUAUGAUUUUUAGGGGAGUUGCAGAGAGCGCAUCAAAACUCCUUUGCAUGCAUAGCUUCCAGACCUCAAAGCGGGGAUGUUAUCAGCUGUCAAUCAACAGGUAUUUAUUGAAUCCCUGAUAGUCUCUUAGAAAGCUGCUAGGUUCUGUGGAAAAUCCAGAAGCAAUAGAAACAAAUAACAUUUACUCACAAAGAGUUGAUAUUUGGGUACAAGAGAUAAGAUACAUAAAAUCAUCAAUAAAUCAAAAUGCUUAUUAUCAGGUUAUCAGCAAGAGAGUUCAUCACCCUGGCUGCAUAGCUCAGAGGAUCCUGAAAUUACGGCUAUCGCAGGCAGCCAGAACCCUGGGAGAGUAUAUCAAUAACUCGGCAUCAACCAAACCAGAGUGGUGCCUGUUUCAAACCUGGGUAGACAAAGCAAUUCACAAGAAUUGUCUAAGCCCCAAUAUUUCAAUAGCUUCUCCGUCUUCACCAAAGUUCAGCUUCUUUCUUUGAUAAUAAAGGCCACAGUUUUCUUUAGAGAACCUUCUUCCAUUCUCAUUUUAUGAGUAAGUUUAGAAUGCCCCUGGAGAGUCUAAGCUUUCCAAACUUUAUACAGCAGCAGGACUGAAUUCUUCUAAGAGGAAUUUGAGGACAUGGGGGAGAUAUUAAAAAUCAAUUUGUUGAGUCUAGAGAAAUAACAAAAGAUGAAAAAGGGAAGUCAUUACUAGAUGUUCCAUCAUCAGAAGCUAUGGAGGAGAGAUGGUUAGGUAACAGGAAAAGGAGCAGACUCGAAAGCUGUCUGCCCUUCACCCCAAAUCUCUUUGAAUAUAAGACACUUCGAAGAUUAAGCUUUUGUAACAUUAGCCCCCUGCAGCUUUAAAUCAUUAAAGUUCCACAGCUGUGCUAAAUAUUAUACAAGAGACACAAGAACGAGUAACACGUGCAACAGGAGGAGAGGCAGGCGGCGUGGAGAAAGACACCAACGUUGAGUCACCGUUUUUCUAGGGAUAAAACCGUGAGUUAGGCACACUCGGGAUUUCACUCACUGCCUCCAGGAUGCGACGUGCCCACACCACUCCCGUCAGCAGAUGAAAGAAGUGACUCUCAGAGAAGAGGAAGUCACGGGCCUCAGCCAGCGAGGUCUCCAACCUGGGAGCUGGAGAAGAGACACAAGUGAGGGAAGAUCAGCCUCCACAGCAGAGAUGGAGACGGGGGGAGGCGGGCCUGCGAGGAUGCGGGCAGUCAGCUGCUGAGUGGCGGGCAGCUCUGCAGGGACUUCUGAUUCUGGCCCCCAAAAGAAAAGCUCACGCCCACCGUGUGUGUCACGGUUCACGAGGCUCACAGGUCAGAGAAGAAAGGCUUUUGUCUCGUUUGUUUUUUUUUUUUUUUUUAAGGUACAGCCAGGCUUAUCUUCUCCUGAAGGAGUAUUGUUCACACUUUACCAACUGUUGUCUGUUAGUCUCUCUCUUGUUAAAAAACAAAAUCCAUUGAGCAAAUCUGAAGAUCGAACUGGCUCUAUUCAACAGUUCAUGGUUUAGCCAACGUCCCAUCAAGCAAGGAGAAGUGUGUUCCAAGGAGCCACACCAAGUGAAAGGUUUAUCUUCCGUCUGGUUUGGUCUUGGGUUUCCUUUGUUUACUGUAAAGUUACUUGGUAAGUGGCGUGGCCACCUCUGUUGCCAAUGCCUUUGCAAGAACAAUAAUUUUAUUACGACUCUAGGACCUGAAGAGGUUUGCUACUUGAAGCCAGGUACCAGCUGAAGUUAAGGUCCAACCUGCCCAGGGAGCUAGCGGGGGUCUUCCCAGGUGGCACCAGUGGUAAAGAACCCAUCUGCCAAUGCAGGAAAUGUGAGUUCCAUCCCCGAGUCGGGA
ensembl:lncRNA